UACGGAGGGAGCUAGCGUUAUUCGGAAUUACUGGGCGUAAAGCGCACGUAGGCGGCUUUGUAAGUAAGAGGUGAAAGCCUGGUGCUCAACACCAGAACUGCCUUUUAGACUGCAUCGCUUGAAUCCAGGAGAGGUGAGUGGAAUUCCGAGUGUAGAGGUGAAAUUCGUAGAUAUUCGGAAGAACACCAGUGGCGAAGGCGACUCACUGGACACAUAUUGACGCUGAGGUGCGAAAGCGUGGGGAGCAAACAGG
rnacentral:rRNA from 1 species